rnacentral:tRNA from 1 species
GUCACUUUGGCGGAGUGGUUAACGCGCAGCCCUGCUAUGUUGCAUAUAAGGCUGUGACUUCGGUCGCGUAGGUUCGAAUCCUGCAGGUGACG